AGCAAAAAAUCAAAGAAGAAGAAGGGAGCAGCCAAUGGUAAAACUACAUCUAAGAAAGCUGCACCAGCUAAGGCAAAGCCUACAUCUGCCAAGAAAGCAAGCAAAGGAAAGAAAGUAAAAUGAAGUAAAAGAGAGCAGACAGUUGAAUUGACCCAUGGACUUUUAUCUUUGUUCAAAAUCUCAUUUGUCAGAAGUUGCUGACUAAGUAUAAUCAGUUUUGCAGUUCGAUGGUGCUAUGAAAUAAUGUCUCCAAAAUCACCAAAUCUGAUUCGUUUUUUCUGUUUUGUUUUGGCAGUAAUUUUCUUAACUUUGUGGGGUUUUGCAUUAUAAUAUAACAGUUAAAAAUGUUUAUCAGUUAUUUUUUCUUAAAAAAAAAAGAAGCGCGUUGGUUUAUUUGAAAGUUGGUUCUUUUUAAAAAUAAGUAAUCAUGAACAUAAUUUCGAUGAGUCUUGGAUAUCUCCUGGUAUAUGAUUUUUUGUUCAGUUUGAUAGUGAAACUGAUCUGUUAGAUUGGCAAUAAUUUAUCCAAGUACAAGGCACAGUUAUUAAAUUAUGGCAGCUAAAGUUUAAUCAAAGUUCAACCGAAAUUGUGCGCUAUACAGAAUUAACCAAUAAAAUACUUUGAACAAAA